GUUAGGAAUAUUGGACAAUGGGCGCAAGCCUGAUCCAGCCAUGCCGCGUGAGUGAUGAAGGCCUUCGGGUUGUAAAGCUCUUUAGCCGAUGAUUAUAAUGACUGUAGUCGGAAAAUAAGCCCCGGCUAACUUCGUGCCAGCUGCCGCGGUAAUACGAAGGGGGCGAGCGUUAUUCGGAAUCACUGGGCGUAAAGCGUGCGUAGGCGGCUUUGCAAGUUGGGAGUGAAAGCCCAGGGCUCAACCCUGGAAUUGCUCUCAAAACUGCAAGGCUCGAAUUCGGGAGAGGAUAGCGGAAUUGUCAGUGUAGCAGUGAAAUGCGUAGAUAUUGACAGGAACACCAGUGGCGUAAGCGGCUAUCUGGACCGAUAUUGACGCUGAGGCACGAAAGCGUGGGGAUCAAACAGGAUUAGAAACCCUAGUAGUCC
rnacentral:rRNA from 1 species